ACCGAAAGCACGCAUGAAUUUAGGCGUAGGCCUAGCUGGAGCCUCUGUCUAUGCAGAUCCCGGUGGUAGUAGCAAAUAUUUAAUUUCGACCUUUGAAGACUGAGGUGGAGAAAAAUUCUGCGGUGAACAGUAGUUGAAUGUGGGUUAAUCGAUGCUGAGAUUAUGGCUUAUGCUAUGUAUCACUGAGAGGAAAAGUUCACUUUUCUCUCGGAUAUCAAAAGAGAAUAGGGUUAAUAUUCCCUAACGUAAACACAGGGAUUGUGAUUUGUAUGAGUCGCUUGCGCGGUAACGCGUUCGAACUUUAUUACGUCGACUAGAGAUCGAGCUCGUGUUCCCUUCGCUUGUUAAGGAAAAGACUCCCUGGAAUCGGCUCAGCCGUAGAUAGGAACGUUGUUUUCGUAAAGCAUAGCAAUUUCUGUGAUGUCUCUGGGCGAUCCUUGAAACAUUAAAGAAGGCUAUUAAUCUGUGCUACAUCGUAACGACAUCCGCAUCAGGUCUCCAAAAUGAAGAUAGUU
rnacentral:ncRNA from 1 species